GACGAACGCUGGCGGCGUGCCUAAUACAUGCAAGUAGAACGCAGUUGCGAACGGAUGAGUAACGCGUAGGUAACUCCCUGGUAGCGGGGGAUAAAGAUUGGAAACGAUAGCUAAUACCGCAUACUACCAGAUGGACCUUCGCUGUAUUAGCUAGUUGGUUGGGUAACGGCUCACCAAGGCAACGAUACAUAGCCGACCUGGGAUGGUGAUCGUCCACACUGGGACUGAGACACGGCCCAGACUCCUACGGGAGGCAGCAGUAGGGAAUCUUCGGCAAUGGACGGAAAUCGGACCGAGCAACGCCGCGUGGGUGAAGAAGGUUUUCGGAUCGUAAAGCUCUGUUGUAAGAGAAGCGGUAUCUUACCAGAAAGGGACGGCUAACUACGGGCCAGCAGCCGCGGUAAUAC
rnacentral:rRNA from 1 species